GCAGCCUGGGGCAGUGAGAGGUGUCCCUGUCAUGGCACUGGAUGGGCUUUAAGGUCCCUUCAAACACAAACCAUCUUGUGGUUCUCAUCUCCACUGAACUUUCUUGGAUGACCAUUUCCUCAGAAACAACAGAUUUCACUUUUGUUAUUUCCUCUACAUAUUCACUGUUUCCAAAAUAAUUUCUGCUGGUUUUUUGACCGUGUUGCUCACUGCUCCUUAUUAAUAUAUCCAAGAAAAUAUUUUCAUUGUUAUUUUAAAAAAGUUCCCUUACCCCCAAAUUGCAAUAUUUUUUCCUUUAACCAGCACAUUGAACACAGAUUUAAAAAGAAAGUUAUUAGUGUUAGUUAGAAAGUUUAUCAGUCAUUAAUUUUAUUUCCUUUCUUGUUAAUUAACAGAUAGAUGUUUGACUGUACUACAUUCCCUGCAUGCAAAACCUCUUCUAUUUUUCUCAACUAAUUAAUUAACUUUCCCUCUGAAGCCCAAAGUCACACUUUAGUCUUGCUCAGCCUCUUCCUUCAUUUUACAAAGAAAGAAAAGUGGAAUUAGGGAUAAAAUCCAGAAUCUCCUGCUUCAGAGUUGCCCCUCCCAUAACACCAGUCUGAGUGUAAGAGCAGCCGGACUAAAACCACAGAUUUGAAAAAGCCAGAUACAGCAAGUAGGCAAAAUAACCCAGCAUGGAACACCAGUGCCAGAAUAUGCUGGAAAUUUCUGGAAAGUUUUUGUUUUGCAUUUAAUGGCUUAUAUGGCUUUAAACUAAUCUCUUAAUAUUAUUCAUUGUGUAUGAUUAUAUUAAAGUCUUAGCACCUUAAAUCAAUAAUAACAAUAAACCAGCUAGCAGCCUGUUAACACCUUCUUACAAGCUCCUUGUUCCCAUAGCAAAAGAAUAGUGAAAAUAGUAAAAAGUGACUAAUAGAAACCAGAGGCCACAUUACCCCUGUGGUACUGCCAGACGUGCUGGAGCAGAGUGCAGCACAGAAAACAGUCUAGCAGGAAACAUCCAACCAGGUAAGAAAAAAAUACAGAGAUUUAAACAUCAGCCCUUGUUUACUGUGCUGAUAAAUAUGUAACAGACAAAAUGAGGAGUUAGGAAUUCAGAUAGAAAAGGAAUUAAGUUUUAUGUUUAUUAUAUUUAUGUUUCCAACUGUCCCAUAGAGAUUUUGAAUAAAACUUCCAUUGUGCAGCUCCCAUGCAAUUCCACGGAUGGAGCUGUUGUUUCUACUUUUUAACAUGUAAAAGAAAUAUAGCUGCAGAAUUCUCACAAUGCUGGAUCAUCCCUGACCUAAAUGUCUUGUUCUGAGGAACAAAGCAUCACUAUAUUGGUUAGAUGAGAUAAGACAAACUCCCCUUGCACAUCCUUUUCCUACUGAUGGAAGGCACACUCAGGAAAGUCUAACAUCAUCACGAAACCCUUUUGUUACUGUUUAAUAUAUUUCUAGGACUGCACUGGAGCAGAGCUAUUUCACUGUCAAUGUCUUACUGUUUCUCAAGUGCUUAAGUAUUUAUCCCACCACAAAAUGCUGUUGUUUGGUGCUGUGAGUUCCUGUUAGCUUCAUUCAUAAGAUGCAAUCAGUGCAAUCCUAUUUCGUGAUGACAGUCAUUAUCCACUGGACCAGAAAUCCUCCUUAGUACUUUUUAUUCGACAAAAAUGAUUAUUCAGGAUCUUUAACCGCAAGGUUUGUCAGUCCCACACAACUCCAAAAUAUUUCUCUGUAGUUUGCAGUUUUAGUAUCAGCAAAUGUGGAAGUGAAAUAUGUAAGUAUGAAUAAUUUUUAUGAGAAUUUCAUGGGCCUUGAGAAAAUGUCUUGCCAUGUUUUUCUCUUUAGCUAUUUAAUUGCAAUGUCAUAUUAACAGAAAGCAGCAUACCCAAUUCUGCAUGGAUGAAUAAGCACAUUCAAUAAAGAAGAUUUAACAGAGUAAAUCAAACACUGGAUUAAACAUUUUCUGCAUAACAGACCACAAAAUGGGCAUUCAUUUUACCAAUAGAUCCUCUACAUUAGAAACAAAUAGAAAUGCACACCAACGUAAUUAAACAUCCUGUGCCCUGAUUACUGAAUUUUCCUAUAUUUUCUUAAACUAGGUCUCAUCAAUUAGGAUUGCCAAAAUGCAUUCCAAAAUGCAUACUGAAGAACUGAAUGUAAAUUUUUAAACAUUUGUAUUGAAUAAUUUUUCCCCUAUAUUUUAUGAAGUAAUUCCUACCUAUGUAAUCCUACGUAUUGCAGAGGAUUUAUGCAGAAUUUUUAGCAAUAGCAGUUCAUAAAAGCACACAAAGAUACUUUUAAAAUUCCACUUACAGCAGUGCUAAAUACUUUUUCUGUGAGCAACUUUUCCAACUUUGAUCUCAACCAAAACAUCUCUCAUAAAAACAUGGUGUUUUACUUUAUGACUUUUAUUUGGGAUUUUCACAUGUCCAUAGAACUACCCUUGUUACUUUAAAGUUUGUGUAGUUAAUAUCUAACUCUAUCAAAAUGCUUUUCAGAAGUACAGGAAUCUGAGCAAAAUCUUUUAAGCUCUGGAAGUGUUUUUAUUUUCCUAGGUAUGAACACUGACGUCCAAAGGAAAAUUAGGACAAAUCAGCUUUAGAAUUAUGGAGUUUCUAGUUAUCUCAAGAUCUCGUCUCCCACCAUUUGAUCAAAUGCUUCUUCCUCCAAAAACAAACAGCAAAUUCUUCACAUUCACUAUGAUGAAUUUUAAUUUUCUUGAGUUAUGUAGUCUCUUUAUCCUGCAGUGAUUUCACGUGUGAAAUCUCAUUAUUCAUUCUAUUGUUCCCUCAAUGGAUACAGAAUUUAAUUCUCCUUGAGUACCAGUUUGAAUAAGGAUCAGCAGCAGGAUCGGGCCCAUUAGCUGCUUGAAACAUCCAGUGAAUAACGUGCUUUAUCCCAGCGAAAUGGCUCAUUAGUUCAGGCAGCAAGGCAGUGUUUGUGUGCUGCUGCAGUUGUGAGUGGCUUUCCUCUGGAGUUUUGCAGUUCCACAACUGGCACCCGCUCACGCAUGCACCGCCCUGAUUGUUCAUUAACCACGGGAACAGCCUCCCCACAGGCAGGAGUGUUUGGGAAAAAAUUGUUUCCAAAUUUAUUCUAAACUCUCAGACAACUUUUAUUCCAACUUCCUCUUUCUUACCAUUAUCUGAGUUUUUCUUCCUGUCACAGCUUGCAGUGGUCAGCCUCAAUCAGGCCCAUAUAACUUGUGUGAUAUUAAUGGCAUUAGACCCUAUACUGCAAAUCCUCAGUCGGAUGCAGACACUCAGUUGGAGUGGUAUGAACACUCUUGUGAUACAGGGCUUUGGAAGAUCAGUGACCUGAAUAUAUUUUAAAAACUCUGAAUAAUUAAAUGCACAUUCUCUUCCUAAGGUGCACUGAAACUCAUUUUGAGGUUGCCCUUUUGAUUACAAAGAUGUGUGUAAAUUAUGGGAUCGCUUAGAGAGGCUGGAAAGGGAAUUACAUAUCACUUGACUUCUGUAACCAUGCAAGGCAAAGAGUUUAUUUUUUCAAUCUUUAAUUAAUGGCAAUCUGCAAAAAUUCUGUAGGUCUCUCAUGGCAAUCAAAAUUAUCUGGUACAAAAUGAGCACCAAGGAGGGAAAAAACGCAGAAUCAUAGUUUUGACAAGGCUGCUCUUCCCAGUGAAACUGGCAGAGUACAGAAAGAAAGUUCCACUUCAGCUACAUUAAGGAUCACCUACUUCACCAGAGAAACCAUAAACAAAAGACUAUAAAGGCCUCAGCUGAAAUGAGUUCUUGCCAGCUGGGAUUCUUGUGAAGACACACGUGUCGCCAAGGACUCCAACACCAAACUGUAGCCAAGAGACAUCUGAAAGUUAGGAGUGAGUAAGAGCCAGAGACUGACUUUCAGGUAACAUAAUGAACAGCAGCACAAAGCUAAGAUACAUCACAUUAGUGUGGCUUCCAAGAAAGAUUACAGACCCAAUAGUCCAGAUACUUCCACGUAAGAACAUCACAGCCAAAAAAGGCUUAAUCUGACUUUUUAAUGAGCACUUAGCAGGGAAUUCCUUUGUAUAUACAGAGGACUGAGACAGAAAUAUGGAUACAGAAAUGGAUGUGGAUGCCUGGUUCUUCUGUAGAGCUUUAAUUGUUUUGCAUGUUAGAAUCUUCCCAACUGUAUUUGGAAGAAGGGAUCUGCUCUUACUUUCUCUAGAAAGCUAGACAGGAUUUUCUGAAAUCCUAAAGAAGCAAAAUCCACUCCAGUCCUUGUUACUUGCUGCCAUUAAGGGUUGAAAUGCAGCAUUUGCCAAGAGUGCAGGUUCCUUUAUUUGAUCCCCUUGACUGUACCAGUAUAACUGCCAAUCACAGGAAAUACCUCUAAUAACUCUUCCUUUUACUUAAUAAGGAAUACCACAUCUUUAAAACAUUAGAAACAGAUGUCACUGCAUUACUUCACUGCUGAUGUAUGUAAUAGAAAUGACACACUAAUUAAUUUAAUGCAGUAUAAAUGUACUGA